rnacentral:rRNA from 1 species
GUUGAACGCUGGCGGCAUGCCUAACACAUGCAAGUCGAGCGGAUGGGGGGAGCUUGCUCCUGGAUUCAGCGUCGGACGGGUGAGUGAUGCCUGGGAGUCUCCCGGGUAUGGGGGUGGGACAUCCUGAAGCGACCGCGGAUACCACAUGCUUCGUGCUGCUGAAGCUGGGGGGGCUUCGGACCGCUCCGGAGGUUGGGGACUUAGGUGGGAUUAGCUAGUUGGUUGGUUAAGUGCCUGCCAAGGCGACGAUCCGUAACUGGUCUGAGAGGGUGAUAAGCCACACUGGAACUGAGACACGGACCAGACUCCUACGGGAGGCAGCAGUGGGGAAUAUUGGACAAUGGGCGAAAGCCUGAUACAGCCAUGGCGCGUGUGUGAAGAAGGUCUUCGGAUUGUAAAGACCUUUAAGUUGGGAGGAAGGGCAGUAAGUUAAUACCUUGCUGUUUUGACGUUAACAAGAGAAUAAGCACCGGCUAACUUCGUG